rnacentral:tRNA from 1 species
GCACUAAUAGCUCAGCGUAGAGCACCG